GUCCCCAUAGUUCAAGCGGAUAGAACUACUCACUCCUAACGAGUAAAUCCAGGUUCGACUCCUGGUGGGGAUA
rnacentral:tRNA from 1 species